CAACCAUCGACAUGAGUACAUCUUUGAGGUCAAGUAGAGUACAAUUUUUUAAACAUUACCUAACUGCCAUGAUGCUUGUAAACCUACUUUGGACCGUUAGGUGUCUCUGAGACCGUUGAAAUGCAGUGAACGUGUGGAGGACAAGAAUAUCGGGGUCAGAGAGGAGAUGGCAGUGGAUGUCAAGCGCAGAAUUGUACCAACACAGGGGGUUAGGAUUAGCUGAUUGGCGUCGACGAGGCCAUCUGGCACCAGUGUAUAUUCCUACACGUUAUACGGACAGCUCGUCGACCGCGUGUAUGCAGAAUGGAAAGCACCAUCGUACAACGUCCACUCGAACGACCACGACAGCUGACGCAAUCGGACUUAUUACACCCCCGAGUAUUUUCUCUACUCUUGUAUCCUACAAUCUCCAUCCAUCCAUACAAUACAUCUAUCGAGAAGACAGAAAUAAAAAAAAAACCAGCGGAAGGAAAUGAUUUUCUUCAAUCUAUGGAUUAAAUUGGUAUGAAUGUUUACAUGAUAAAGGAAGUUAUAAAAUUCCAAAUGUACAGGUCUUUGGGAAUUUUGAAGAAACAUCUGGAGAACAUACACUACCCUUAUUGGCGCACAUGUUUUGCAGAUAUUAAGGGGGUUUUCCGAACCACAUGCGAGAGUCUUCUGUCAUCUUAUCUGGUUGCAAUUAACCUCUUGUAGGGGUUUCUACCCCUACCCAACAGUUGUAUUGUAUGGUUUAACUACUUGUAUUCAACUAUUGUAAAGAUACUUUUCAGCUUUUCUAACAACUUACAUAGUUUAUUAUCUUUCUAAAAUAUAUAAACAGCUUUAUGAAAAUGUGUUUCACUGUACCACUACUGUCAGUAUAUCUGGAAGAUGGUAUAACAUACGUAAUGCAGCUUUUCUGAUUGUAUAUACAUAAGUGGGUAGGUAUGGUUCAUGUUAUUGAUGAAGAUGGUUAAUAUAUUCUGGAGAUUCUGGGAAAUGGUGGAGAAAAAAUAUUGAAAAAACUCGAGACUGAGUGUAUUGGUUAACAGUGAUGCCAUUGAUCGUCAGAGAAAAGUAUGGGAGGAUGAAGAAAUUAAAGUGGAAAAGGUUGAGAAAGAUAAAAAAUUUACACAUAUAUGUAUUGAGUGUUGUCUUUGUUAAUAAUCAUGACUGAUGCCGUUGUUCUCUUUCAAAGUAUUUUAU